GAUCCUGCUCCAAUGAGAAUGCAUAUAAGGCCAUGUUCAUCUGGUACAGAAAUAAGGAGAGAGGCCACAACAACCCCUCUGAUGAAGACGUGAGCUCCUGUAUGAUCAACCAGAGUCCUGGCUGUCCAGGCGUCAGCAUCCUGUCAUUUAUGGGU